rnacentral:rRNA from 1 species
GUGACCGAAAGAUGAAAAGAACCCCUGUUAGGGGAGGGAAAGAACCUGAAACCAUACGCUUACAAGCUGUCGGAGCACGAUUGUCUUCGGACACGUGUGACGGCGUGCCUUUUGCAUAAUGAUCCGGCGAGUUACCGUCAAUGGCUCGAUUAAGGCCUUCCGGGCCGAAGUCUCAGCGAAAGCGAGUCUGAAUAGGGCGUUCAGUUCGUUGGAUUAGACCCGAAACCGAGUGAUCUAGCCAUGGCCAGGUUGAAGGUGCGGUAACACGCACUGGAGGACCGAACCCACGCCUGUUGAAAAAGUCGGGGAUGAGCUGUGGCUAGGGGUGAAAGGCCAAUCAAACUCGGAAAUAGCUGGUUCUCCGCGAAAUCUAUUGAGGUAGAGCGUCGAAUGAUUGCCGUUGGGGGUAGAGCACUGGAUGGAUGCGGGGGUCGCGAGAUCUACCAAUUCUAACCAAACUCCGAAUACCAACGAGUCUAGUUCGGCAGACAGACGGCGGGUGCUAAGGUCCGUCGUCAAAAGGGAAACAGCCCUAACCUACAGCUAAGGUCCCCAAGUCAUCACUAAGUGGGAAAGCAUGUGGAACUUCCAAAACAACCAGGAGGUUGGCUUAGAAGCAGCCAUCCUUUAAAGAAAGCGUAACAGCUCACUGGUCUAAAUAAGAGGUUCUGCGGCGAAAAUGUAACGGGGCUCAAGUGAUGCACCGAAGCUUAGGGUGUGAUCUUCGGAUCACGCGGUAGCGGAGCGUUCCGUAGGCGAGUGAAGCGGGAGGGUAACCGACCGUGGACGUAUCGGAAGUGCGAAUGCUGACAUGAGUAGCGAUAAAGAGGGUGAGAUGCCCUCUCGCCGAAAGACCAAGGGUUCCUGCUUAAAGCUAAUCUGAGCAGGGUAAGCCGGCCCCUAAGGCGAGGCCGAAAGGCGUAGUCGAUGGGAACCAGGUUAAUAUUCCUGGGCC